GUAAGGAAUAUUGGUCAAUGGGGGCAACCCUGAACCAGCCAUGCCGCGUGAAGGAUGAAGGCGUUAUGCGUUGUAAACUUCUUUUGUAUGGGAAGAAUGACAGGGAUUUAUCCUUGGAGAGACGGUACCAUACGAAUAAGCACCGGCUAACUCCGUGCCAGCAGCCGCGGUAAUACGGAGGGUGCAAGCGUUAUCCGGAAUCACUGGGUUUAAAGGGUACGUAGGCGGUUAAUUAAGUCAGUAGUGAAAGACUGUCGCUCAACGACGGAUGUGCUAUUGAUACUGGUUAACUUGAAUCAGGUUAGAGUUGGCGGAAUGGGUCAUGUAGCGGUGAAAUGCUUAGAUAUGGCACAGAACACCAAUUGCGAAGGCAGCUCACUAAGGCGAUACUGACGCUGAGGCACGAAAGCGUGGGGAUCGAACAGGAUUAGAUACCCUUGUAGUCC
rnacentral:rRNA from 1 species